rnacentral:rRNA from 1 species
GACGAACGCUGGCGGCGUGCUUAACACAUGCAAGUCGAACGGAAAGGCCCUGCUUUUGUGGGGUGCUCGAGUGGCGAACGGGUGAGUAACACGUGAGUAACCUGCCCUUGACUUUGGGAUAACUUCAGGAAACUGGGGCUAAUACCGGAUAGGAGCUCCUGCUGCAUGGUGGGGGUUGGAAAGUUUCGGCGGUUGGGGAUGGACUCGCGGCUUAUCAGCUUGUUGGUGGGGUAGUGGCUUACCAAGGCUUUGACGGGUAGCCGGCCUGAGAGGGUGACCGGCAGGCGGGGGACCGGGGCACGGCAGAGACGGGGACGGGGGGGGGGAGGGGACAAUUGUGCACCGGGGGCGGGGGCGGGAGGCAGCGACGCCGCGGCCGGGAGAUGGGCCUCAGCGUUGGAAUGCGCUUUCGGCGGGGGAGGGGAGUGAAUGAAGGUAGUGGGAAAAGGGGCGCCGGCACACUCCGUGCCAGCGGCCCGGGUAACACGAGGAGGUGCAGAGGUCUGACC